rnacentral:rRNA from 1 species
UACCAGCACCCCGAGUGGUCGGGACGAUUAUUGGGCCUAAAGCAUCCGUAGCCGGUUUUACAAGUCCCCCGUUAAAUCCAGCUGCUUAACAGAUGGGCUGCGGAGGAUACUAUAAGACUAGGAGGCAGGAGAGGCAAGCGGUACUCAGUGGGUAGGGGUAAAAUCCGUUGAUCCAUUGAAGACCACCAGUGGCGAAGGCGGCGUGCCAGAAUGCGCUCGACGGUGAGGGAUGAAAGCUGGGGGAGCAAACCGG